CAUGAAUGUAAUCACAAACACACCACAUUCCUGAGUUCUAGGAGUCCUGCGAGUGAAUUGUCAAACCGGAGGGGACAGGAGGGUGUCCUAGAGCUCCAGGGCAGCGGGAGAGGAGUAGAGGCAGGAGAUGGUGUGCAGUGUGAGCUGGGCGUUAAGGAAGGGUCAGGGUGAAAGCAAACCGGGGCGAUUCUGACUGGUGUAACCGUGGGGAGGUGGCCCCGAGAACAGAAAGAGGACAAAGAGGAGGCACCACAAUUGGAAACAGAUGAAGAGCUCAACUGUGGUGAUGUGAGGCCCCAGAGGAAAACCCAGACACUGCAGAACGAUUUUAUGACACAGUUAACCGCCAUCAAGGCUGGUGAAGUGCUGGGCUGAGACCAUCCCAUUCAUCCUGUGGCGUUCUCAAUGCUCGUGUUCUACAGGAACCUUCAAAGAUCACUCAUUGCCACGGCAAAGAUUUUAAACCCUUGAUCCUGUCUUCGGAAGCCAGCCCGCGUUUUGGCCCCUACAUCUCUAUACUGCGCAGUCCAGAGCCCACGCUCCAGCCCAUGGGGACUCCUUCCUGGCCUCAACGCAUUCCUGCUCCUGCAUAAGGCUUGACGGAGAAUAUCCGCUGGUUCUGCCCGAGAAAAGAGACUUCCUGAGACAUGAUGUCAUCUUUGCAAAGGGGAAACACAUGUUGAGUCCCGCAGCACAGAACAAUACAGAGGUGCUGAUAGUUUCGCUG
rnacentral:lncRNA from 1 species